AUUCUGGGUAGCAAGAGUUGGUUGGGGUUUUCCAACUGCCAGAGGCCUCCUGGAGGUUUUUUCCUAUGAGGAAGUUGGUAUUUCUGUUUCCUGGAACACUGAAAAAACCUAGUGGCAGGUGAAGGAAGAGAACAGAGAGGUGGCUCUGGCAGCAGCUUGCUGAGCUUGCUGCAGAAGCAGCUUGGUGUGGAGGCAGCUAUUGUCCAGGUUGGCGUACUAUAUCAAGUGGAAGACUGAUUGAUCCUCUAUGACUAUCACAAAACCCAUCAAUAUUCAGAGCUCUCUAUUUUGGGGAGACCCAAUAAAGAAUGUGUUCUGACCAUUUUUUGUACCAAUGAAACAUCAGAAUAGGAUUUCAAUGGGAGAGAGAUACACCAGACUACAACAUAAGGACAGCGCUUGGAAAACAUGAAAAUGUUCCAUAAUUACUAGUUGUUACCAAAUAUAUCCUUUAAUACACAUCCUAUUAAAAUAUUUAACAUCAUUCAAAUAACAAAUGAACACAAUUUUUCUUGAUUUCUGGAAACAUGUCUAUGAUCUUUUUUUUGCAAAUAAUAUUGAUUGUUUUAUCUUAAAAGUUAUUUGGCAAGGUUAAGCCAUAAUUUGACUUAAAAAGUUGUCACUUGUAAACAAAGUCACUGAGGAAAAAUAUACUAAAAGAAUCCCAAACUCACUUUUUUCAGAGAAUGUCAGGAAAGAGGACCAGAUUUUUACCCAUGUGGGAAGAACCCCUUCAGCAAGCUGUAACUAAUUUAUAACUUCUGAUCUUAGUUGUUCCUUGAGACACUUAGAAAUGAAAUGACUUGGACAUGACCACAUAUCCAAUUAAUGAAGAGUCAGGAGAGAGCUGUAUCCAUUAUGUUACACUGUCUCUCUCCAAAGAGCACAUCAAAGAAAAUUAUUUAAAUACCUAACAAAUAAAUUGAGAGAUAAAGUGUUGCUUCAGGGGUACACUACAUACCUUUCUGUAAUGUAAAAAAACAUACCAAAAAUCUGUCAAAACAUUAGAUCAGAAUUAAUGUCCUCCCACAGGCAAAAGCUCCUAGCAUUUACAUUGUCCAGAGAACAAUUUGACUUGUCUAGAGUUGCUGAGCAAGGCAAUGCUUCCCAAGUAGACAAAGUCUGGCUAUCUAUGAGCAUCAUUUCAUUACUCACCAUUUCAAAUGUGAGUAAAUUAAACAGAGAACGGGAUGACAGCAGGGCUAUGAAGAAUGCAUAUGGGAUUGGGACUAUGUUAGAAACCAAUCUCAUGUGACAAGAAAAAAGGCAAAGGGUAUUGGAAGACUCUAUAUGGCUGUGUAUCAAUAUAGGAAUGCUCAAAGAAGAUUUAAAAUGAGGACCUAAAGCUUAUAUCAUCUUUCUCAUGACAUUCUGUGUUAGGCGUCUCUGUAUAUGACAGCAUUCAGAACAUAAAUAAAAGUAAUGAUGAUCACAUGGGUACCUAUAAAAUGACCAUACUCUAAUAAAUCUAAAAUUCAGAUACACUUACCAUUCAGUGGUUGGGAAAUUUAAUGUGGGCAAAGCAACUGAGAGUUUCUCAGUGCUGUGCUGUUUUUAUUUUAUUUUAUUUUUGUAAAUGGGUGAAGUCUUUCCCAUGAACCCAUUUCAUUACAAUUUGCUUAUUGCCUCUAAAACUCCCAGAAUGUACAGAAUAGAAUAAUAGGAUAAAAAUUUUGAUACACCCUAAUUGGAUCUCGAGCUCUAUUGCUAUGUCAAGUUAAAAAGGCUUCGAGUUUGUAAGAUGCUCUAAAUUUCAGUGACAAUUUAUCAGGUCCAUGGCAAUCUCCAGUGGAAUCAGAUACAUCUUGAUGAACUGAAUACAACUUUAGGCAUGGGAGAAGAAAAUAGAAAUGAUGAUGGAAGACUCGGCUUCCCUAGAGUGAAGAGAACAGAUGGAAAAUUAGAAGUAGAUGAAGGAGGUGAUAUAGUAAAGGUUAAAUGGUCGGCCACUUUCAAAUCAAUGUAAACAGCUUGAGCCUGACAUAGAGCCAACAAGAGAACAUAUUGGAAAGGGAAAAAACUGUGGUCAAAGCAGCAGGUGAGAAAGAUUAUAUUAGUAGCAAUAUUUUAGAUUGCCUGCAAGGGUAAAGAGUUGGAUCUCAUCUGUGAAAUAUCAUAAUUUCAUAGUGUGGAUUUUUUGUUUUGAAAAAAUAAUCCUAACUUAAGGGUAACUAUUUCUCUAUUUGCAAAAUACCUCUUGUUACAACAUAAUAAAAACCUGGCUUACAAAACUAAUUUAUUUAAUAAAAAAA